UGGCAGCGCUCUCUGCGUGGCUCGCUCUCACUCGCGCGCACACACACAAACCCGAUCAGAUGCUGCAGGACCGGCCACUUUGCGAGGGCAACAACACGGGAGGGUUUGUAUUACUCCAGGUGCCUGACAGGGCUGGCCGGGAAGAACUGCUGACCUGUCUAAAGAAAUAUAUCUGCGUCUCCCGGAAUGGCAGGACAGAUGGUGCCCGUUCGCACCGCGGCGACUUCUCUAGAUGGCACACACCGAGCGGAGCUGAUGAGUGAUAACACUGGGAGUUAUUUAGCUCUCCAUUGGAAUGUGACAGAUCACACUCCGGGGCGUGCAGCACAAGCGCUCCGCGGAGCGAGGGCCGGAGCCCGGGAACGCGGCGCAGCGCGGGGGGAAGCGGCCGGGCGGAGGCUGCGCGGCAGCGGCACCAGGCCUGCGAGGGGCCGGGGUCAGGCCGAGCUGCAGGCGGGGCAAACAGGGGCAGACGCUCUCCUCAGCAGGGCGCUUAUAGAAACAUAUGACCCGAUCCAGAGAAAGUUACUGACAGCCUGGAUGAGUCGAACACAAAUGUUUAUACAUCUAAAUUUGUUUCUUUCCUUCCCCGCCCCCCGCUUCCUUUCAUGAUUUUUCUCCCCCAUCUUUUAAGAAAUAGACUGCGAAGAAGUUUAGACCACGAGGUAAUCAUAAUAACCUAUAUAGAGAUUUUGAAAGAGAGACCCACUUCACAAUUUUAUAUCGAGGAGCAAAAUAUUCUGGCGAAGUCUGGGGUCAUCACCUACAACAGAGCAAUGUUCUCUCCCUGUUUAAUAUACAUGGUGUGGGAAAUGGAGGGAAAACAUAGCUAGCACCUGUACUGCUAAAGGAAAAAAAACACUAAAUUACUACAUCAUAUUUUGGGGCUAUUUUGCAGGACAUUCUUAAAAAUAGACUAAUAUUUAAUUAUAGCUCUAAUGAUUUUCUCUGCGUGACUGCUAGCUAAUAGUAAGGAGGAAAUGGGGUUUCUAUCGAGUUUUUGCAUUUGAUAUCUUUAAAAAAAUAGUAAUUUUCCUAUGUGUUAAUAGCGCAUCUGGAACUGCAAGUGACCAACCUGGACCAACUUUUAAUUAACACACUGACCUGCCGAAGAACCAAAACUCCCUUAAAAAAAAAAAAAAAAGUAAAAAAAAAAAAGUACAUAUAUACAUACACCGCCGUAUCGGCGUGACCCUGGAAACCCCAGGGCUCUCUUUGCCCUUUUUGUAGAGAGGAGGUGAUUUUCCAAAGGGGCGAGAAGAUGCGCAAGUUCAGCACCCGCCCGCCUCGCCUCUCCGGGCCGCCGUCGGCCGCGCAGCCCCGCUCAAGCUGCGCGGGCGGCGGCGGCCCCAGGAAGGGGGGAGGCGGUCGCAGCGGGCCGGGCAUUAUGACCGGAGCCCCUGGUCAGCCUGUGCGAGGAAAAGGCCGUGGCAGAAAGGCAGAGGACUUGGGCUCUGUGGGAGGUGUGGUACACACACCAGUGAGGGGGUGUACACAAGCUAACGCGUGGGUGCUACAAGCUCUAGACCCUGUUUAGCAGCUCCCCCACACGAAGCAUAAAGAGAGGUCAGCAGCCUGAAAGAUAAACUCCUUUUCUUUCUGCUGUUGCCUUGUCAAUGCUUGCUUUGUAUUAUUUUUUCCCUUCAUGGUUAAAUUAUUUGUGGUUUUAAAAUUAUUUUUUUUCCCAUUCACAUACACACUUCAGGCAGGCUGUAUGCCUGAUGCGGCACCCACCCCCCAAAACCGGCACUGGAGUACGUUACUGCCGAGUUACACUUUAACUUCUCUGCAGGUAAUAAUUAAAGACCUUCUUUCUAAAUCUCUUUUCCCCACAGAAACACCGAGGCUCUCUUUCGCAAUAGAUUAUAUUGAUCACACACACGGGCACUCUCUCCUCGGAGCUGCUGUCUGUGAGCUCUCAAUUCUGUGCACUCUGUGCUACUUUUCCCAGAUCUUCUACCAUUUUUUUCCCAAUCUGAAAGGUUUAUUUAGGGAUGCAUUUCUAUGAACACUCCCAAAUCUCCCCAAGAGAAAGCUCCACGUGCAAAAGGGGACAGCCAGUCACUCAGAUGCACACCUGCAGGCUUUGGCCAUAAGUCUGAAUUUUGUCCCACAGUUCCACUGUGUGUGAGUUUAAAAAUAACAUAUAUAGAUGUAACAAAGUCAUCUGACAUCAGUAAUGGAGUAUCUCCGUCUAGUGAAAAGAACUCCAACUUUUUUUAGCGGUGACACUUUCCAAGAAAACCUUCAGCCUUGUCCUAACAGCUGCACUGAAAGUUUCAGGGGCUCUGAGUUACCUGAGAUCACAAAUUAAUCUGUCAGAGAAGUGUGGCACACACCUGAUAUCAGCAGAGGGUCAAGAGCUGGCCAGUUCCAGCUGGUCCCGUAUUUGAUUUACUUCAGGCUGUUAAGAUGUAUGCUGUGGUGUUUUGAUAAGAAAAAAGGAGUCAGCAGUUUGAUUUGGCAAUUCUUUCCUUUAUUUUUUUUUUCUUUUUUUUUUUUCCCUCUGAAGAUAGCCGCAGUUUAAGCUAAGGAAUUUGUUGUUGCUGGUGGGAUGGUUUAUAGUGGAGUAUUCUGGUCUGCAUGGGGCUAUCUCAUCAUGUAUUGUUAACACUUAACUGUGUUUCUUACUCUCCCAAGUGAGCCAGACCGUGCCAUGAACUUUUAUGCAGCUUGUCUGCCUGAGGCCUCCAGCAUCUCUGGCUGGUGACUUUGUUGGGGCUCACUUGGAGCAACAGCAAAGGCAGUGACCAUCACCCUAAUGGGUGGGUCAUGCCAACAACCUGCUCAGUCUUGGUGGAGCGAGCCCUAUGACAGCUUUCCCCUCACAGCUCUCCCACAGGGCCUUGUCCCUGAGUUUCAUCAGAUGCCACAGAAAUAUUUCAAUUGUGGGUUUUUUAUACUGUACUGAUGUACUCAUACAAGCUGAGUGUGGAGGCUGCUUGCUCAUAGCUGACUUAAACUAUUAUUUGAAGAUAUCUCCUGCACCUGCUGUGCCCUCUCUUACAGCCCCAAAAACUUUGGCUCAGAGAGAGUUAAAUCACAGUAAUUACACCAGGGAUGUUAUCUCAGACAUGUGCGUGUCUGUGAAGCUAAAGAACACCUGCAAUACUCCAGACCAGAGGACCACUGCACAAAUUACACCCCUCAGAGGUGGCACCAAUGGGUGAUUAAACAGGGGACUAAGGAGCAGAUCAGAUUUUUUUAUUCUGUCCCUGAUUUUUCUUUUCCUUUCUUCUUAUUUUAGCUUCUCUGCCUCUAAAAUAGGGAAGUAAGAGUCACCGACCCUAUUGCCUUUCCAUGAGGCAAUUGGUGUUUGAAAAAAACCCCCAGAAAUCCUCAGAGGAUGUAAUCUGUGAUAAUGUAUAUUCUAAGGUAGAUGUGCUGCCAUUCCUUGUAUUAGGGUUGGCAAACAUUUCUCAGAAGAGGCCACAUUUUCUGUUGCAUGUAGCUUUAGAAAAAACAUCAUCACUUAGGCUGAAAACUGAUAUGCUGACUGUCUGUACUGGGCAGAUUAUUUUGAAAAUACCUGCCAAAACAAUUUGUCCAUUUCUAAGAACAAGGUUAUGGAAAAAUAAACAGUUUUGCUCAUACUAAAAUGAAAACUUUUUUCCUUUGAAAUGCUCUGCUGCCCUCCGGCUUUGAAGCACAGCCUCAAAAUGUGACCCUUUUUAUUUAAAAUGUGUUUUUCCCCUCUCUGUCUGAAAAUUUAUCUAAAUGUGUCUAACUUACAAAUAUUAGAAAUGGUGUCAUAAACAGAUGGCCAGCAAUGAUUUCUUUUAUUCUAGCAGGAAAAAGGCAUUGCUAAAGGUUGGCGCUCUGUGCAAACAGAAGCUUAAGGAUACAGUGGUGAGGCUAGAUUUCCACUUUAAUCCCCACAUGCAAGUUUCCUCCAUGAGCCUGAGCUUUGGCGCAGAAUCUGAGAGGUAGGAAUCCUAUUUCUCCUGAGCUCCAAGUGAUUUGAAGGUUGUGUCAGGAAGAAAGGUCUCCGUGUGAAUACAACACAGAGGAAAAAAACCACCUAGCCCAUGACAGAGCAGGCAAUAUAAGCAGCCAAGCCAGCCAGAGAGAAAAGCUGGGACUGGUGCUUGGAGGCGGGAGCCUGGGACUGAUUAGGUAAGGAGACACAGAGGUUGUGCAGAGACAGUAGAGAGAAACUGUUCUGUUGAGGAGCCUGGAGGGCAGGCAAGAGGGCAAGGCUGGAAAAACCAACUAAUGUUGUCAGCCAAGAGCAAGGAUUCUUAAUUGCAGGAUGUCCAGAGUAGCUGGGCUGAAUUUCAUUUGAAGCAUGGUAGAAAUUCUGAAAGUCAAAAUGUGGAGGUUUUUUCCACUAUUUAUAGCCAAUGCAGUUUAGCCACAUAAUUAAUGCUUUUUAUUUGGAAUAGAGUCUGCUUUCUAAUGCUGAAAAAGAACUGACCUUCAGGAGAAGUGUUCCUGAGAUGAUUCAAAACAUAUUUCAAUUUGUGUGUGUGUGACCACUGAACUAAGGAAAUGUGUUAUAUAUUCAACACUAGCCACAUCGUGGAUGUAAAGGAAAUUACUUACCUGAGGGCUUCAGAGCACCUCGAUUCAGCUUCCAUACAUUAGGAUACAUGACCACACAGAUUAUAUUCCACAAGUUUUCUGAAGCAGGAAUGAAACCCUGCAAGGUACCCUUCCUCUGGGAACAGAUCACUACUUUGUAGGUUUUAUUCACUGGAUUCCUGUAUAAUUUGUCACAGAACUGGGUACAGCUCUGUACAAGAUAGUGAAUUACAAGCGCAGAAAGCAUGACUUGCUGGCAGAAUGGUUGCUGAAUUUUACCUGCUGAGUUUGCUUCCAUUCCCCUUCCACCUUCCAAAGAUUCUACAGUGUGGGGAAAGUUGCCUCAAGAGGCAAUAAUUAGUUGAGAUUUUCAUAUGACGAGGGCCCACCUUGAAAUUUUGGAGUCUGGUGGACUGCAGUGAAUCACUCACUUUGCAUGGACUAGGCCAAACAAUGCAGAACGCCAAACAGGUUGGAAAAUCAAGUAGAUAAUGUCUCUAAUUGGAUACCCAAAAUUAGCAGGCAUUUUGUACUUUAAUCUCAUUUGUUUGGAACACAGAUUUAUAAAAAGGAUAGGAUGAUAUAAUCCCUUCAGUUUCAGGCUUUAAAAAAGAAGCACACAGAUGCUAUAGUGUGGUGGGGAGAGGAACAGGAAAAGAACAAGAUUAGGGUUUGUAUACCCCAGAUAUGGCCCCAUGCAGGUAAAUUUAACACUGGAAACACCUCCUGAAGAAAGCUUUGCCCAUGCCCUACUCUGCAAGCCAAAGGGGUGCUUGUGAAGAGGAUCAAGCAGAAAAGCCCCACUGCCCUGUCAUAUUGUGUUCAUAUUUCAUUGCACAAGAGCAGAUGAAACAAGGGCUUUGUAAAGUUAUUUGUAAAAAGCGGGAAGGAGAGGGAGGAAAAAAGGGAGAACAAGCCCAGGUACCACAGAUCAUGGAAAUAAGGUGCUGACUCACAAGAGACUAAAAGUGUGUGUCUGUACCAGUGAAAGCACUUGUAUCUGGGGACUCUUCACAUCAGGUGUAUGCCAUGGUAACUUGCCUUUUGGUUACUGCACAGCCUCUUUCCCUUUGUUUCUGGGCAUUUUUUUCUCUUACAUAGUCUGAUGUUUGAGGAAAAUUUUCUUUUUCUCCCCCUGGAAAAUUCCUUGUCAUCUCCUAGCACGUGAUGGUGUAACAAUAAAGCAGGCGGGGAUUGGUCCUGAGCAAUGUGAUUAGCUUUCAUUCUCUCACUUCUUACUGGCUUUACAUGUUUAUAGAGCCUGAAAUACUCUUUUAAUUUGUGUGUGUCUUAACAAUGUUAAUCAUAAUGGCAAAAGGGCAAUCAAACAGGACAGCCAAAGUACUUUCUAACUUUUUUAUUUCUCAAUAAGCACCUAUUUAACUCCUUUUUUAGUGGGUAGCACUGAAACCUAUUCAUUUGGAACUGGACUAAAAUCUUCAAAGUAUUUCAGGGGGAUGGAUUUAACACUAACAGUCCUACAGAUUGCCAUACAUCUGUCUGGAUUUAAACAAACAACAGGGAAAAAACCUACUCUUAAAAGUCUGAAUUUCUGUUUUCUAUGUUAGACUAUAGAAGAGCUCCAGAAUCUCUUCUUUUAGUCAGAGACAGGAAGUGCCCUCACCAGGCACAUGGUUCUGACCUUGGCAGGAGGAUCCUUGGCCUGGAGUCAAGCAGUUGCUGCACUCACUGAAACAGCCAAAUUAGCUGUCUGCUCAGCCAUGGAUUAAAAUUCAUUCACUGAUCCAAGACAGUAAGUGAGACAAUAAUUUUCUACUCCUGCUUUGUUUCGCAGCAGAUUCUCAUUCAGAAUUAACCUGCAGUUAAGCAUCAGGUUUUUUUUUACCCAGCAGUAACCACAGUGGCAUCGUAAAAUUAUACCUCCAGUAAAUUCAACAAGCAGGAUAAAUAAAUGCAGAUGUAAAAAGAGAAAACUCAUCCUGUUCUCAGUAGCACAGAGACUGCAUGAGAGCAGAGGACAGAGAUUCAGGAGUCCUGAUGCUAUCAGCAGUCACCAUUAUUUUGAGAGGUAACUUGUAACAAAUAAAGUGUCAUUUCCUCUGAGCCAAAGACCUCUAACAGAACUGCCUUUACCACCACAGCCUAACUCCUUUCUUCUCUAACUAACCACAGGCUUGAUCGAAAUGUUAGAGAGUAAAUUGCUUAAUGCUUUCUAGAGACCUCAAAUAUGUGAAGUACCCAGUGCAUAAAAGAGAGAGCUUAUUUCAAAACCAAGCAUAGCAAAACUGACCUGCUGGAGAAAAGAGCCUCUGCCUUGUUCCUGCUCACAUUAGGUUUUGUGCUUGGAUUUCCUAACAAAACAACGUAUGCUUCCAAGUCCAUCACUUUUAAACCAAUAUACAAGACAGAAAAACUAAUACAAUCUAAUUAUGCAAUGCAAAGGUGACCAUCUGGCUGCUUAAGAAUUGCAAUUGACCCAGAUAACAGCAAAUGUUUUUCAUAUCAGAGGUAAAAAAUUUAGGUUGGAAGUCCAUAUCUCUCCUAUUAUCAUUGAUAAUGAGAAAACAAAAUUUCAAGACAUAGUACAAAAGUCAUGUUGAUGGAAAACAGUAUAUCUUCUGCUGUAUGUAUGUAUAUCGUAUACAUCAUCAGCCUCUUUGCAGAGCAAGAGUCCUCCCACCAAGGCCAGUAAUAAUAGAAGACAAUAGGAAAAAAAGCUUUUCUCAGUGUAUCUGACCAAGUCUAAGAUCUGGUAUUCAUGUCAAUAAAGCUUUACUAUUGCUUGUGAUGAUAAUCCUGUAUGAUCCCACCCCUGAGGUGGCUAUAACUCGUCAUGAAUGAAUGGAUCAUUAUAUAAAAGUAUGUACCUACUUUGAUGCACAGUAAUCUGACUGUAUCUCUAUGUGAUGUGAAAGGCCCCCAAACAACAGUAGGGGUGGUUACAAUAAAUCUUUUGAGUAUGAAUUUUGCACUCACUGCAAUAGCACUGCAAUAUUUUGUAGACACAUGUUCCAAGGGAAAAGGUUUGUUCAUAAAUACACUGAUGAUAUAAGUGACUUAUAACUGGACACUCCCAAUGUGAUUUUAGAGAGAGGAGUAAAAUAAAAGAUUAUUCUGAUUUUCUGGGUAUGAUGAUGGCUUUUCUGCUAGCAGUGGCUGGUCCAUCCUUGUCACGUGUGCACAAAACCUCCACAUUCACUCACCCAUACCACCAAUAUAUAGGAAAAGAAAGGCAGAAUUGUCUGGGAAAGUAAAUUAAGGAUGAGGAAGAUAUUUUGGACCUGCUGUGUGGCCUCACACCUGGGGAAGGUUUGCAAAGAAGUAAAGAGAAGCCUUUGCCUAGGCAAGAGCCAGCCUCUCUAAAGGCAGAUGAGCACUGGUUUCUCACCAAGUUCAACUUGUCGAGAAGAGCUACAGUGUUUAAACUACUUUUGUGGGGUGAUUUUUCCCUUUUUAUUUUUUUUC